rnacentral:rRNA from 1 species
GAUGAACGCUGGCGGCGUGCCUAAUACAUGCAAGUCGAGCGAACAGACGAGGAGCUUGCUCCUCUGACGUUAGCGGCGGACGGGUGAGUAACACGUGGAUAACCUACCUAUAAGACUGGGAUAACUUCAGGAAACCGGAGCUAAUACCGGAUAAUAUAUUGAACCGCAUGGUUCAAUAGUGAAAGACGGUUUUGCUGUCACUUAUAGAUGGAUCCGCGCCGCAUUAGCUAGUUGGUAAGGUAACGGCUUACCAAGGCAACGAUGCGUAGCCGACCUGAGAGGGUGAUCGGCCACCCUGGAACUGAGACACGGUCCAGACUCCUACGGGAGGCAGCAGUAGGGAAUCUUCCGCAAUGGGCGAAAGCCUGACGGAGCAACGCCGCGUGAGUGAUGAAGGUCUUCGGAUCGUAAAACCCUGUUAUUAGGGAAGAACAAAUGUGUAAGUAACUAUGCACGUCUUGACGGUACCUAAUCAGAAGGCCACGGCUAACUACGUG